GAUUAACUCAAUUGGUUAGAGCAGGGUGUUAAUAAUGCCAAGGUUGUGGGUUUGAUCCCCACAUGGGCCU